rnacentral:rRNA from 1 species
GGGUCAGGAGGGUGGUCGUGCCACCGGUACGUACUGGUCUCACUGAUUCCUCCUUCCUGAUGAACCGUAAUGCCAUUAAUUUGGUGUUGCGGGGAAACAGGACUGUUACUUUGAAAAAAUUAGAGUGUUUAAAGCAAGCUAACGCUUGAAUACAUUAGCAUGGAAUAAUGAAAUAGGACGAUCGAUCCUAUUUUGUUGGUUUCUAGGAUUGACGUA